rnacentral:tRNA from 1 species
GGCGGGGUGGAGCAGUUGGCAGCUCGUCGGGCUCAUAACCCGAAGGUCGUAGGUUCAAGUCCUGCCUCCGCAACCA